rnacentral:rRNA from 1 species
GCUUACGGCCAUACCACCCUGAACACGCCCGAUCUCGUCUGAUCUCGGAAGCUAAGCAGGGUCGGGCCUGGUCAGUACUUGGAUGGGAGACCGCCUGGGAAUACCAGGUGGUGUAAGCUUUU